UGUCCAGUAGCACCUUAGAGACCAACUAAGUUUGCUCUUGGUAUAAGCUUUCGUGUACAUGCACACACAAAAGCUUAUACCAAGAACAAACUUAGUUGGUCUCUAAGGUGCUACUGGACA
rnacentral:miRNA from 1 species